ACUCACCUAUCCACUAAACAGCAACUUCAAUGUUGACUGAUUUUAUUAGUUUAUUUUUUAUUUUUGAUGGGGUACAUUGAUGUUGUGGCAGGCUUAUACAAUGUAUGAUCAUAUAAUGUAACUAAACCCCCAUUACUUUUGCCUAGAUUAGGUGUUUAAAAAAAAAAAAAAAACUAAUAAAAUCGGUCAACAUUGAAGUUGCUGUUUAGUGAAUAGGUGAGU